rnacentral:lncRNA from 1 species
UGCAUUUGAAAUGAUUACGCUUGCCCUGUGUAUUUGGCCCACUGAAACCAAUAAUGGGCAGACCCACGCCUUCUGCUGUGAUUGCUCUCUGUGGUUGCCUCCGGGUGGGAGCCUGGACACUAACGGAGGAUGGCACUGGACCUGAUGUAACGAUUCUUUGGUAGUCGCAGAUAUACAGUUGCCUCUGUAUGUUUGGCACGUGAAAACCAAUGUGAGUUUCUGUGGACAUAUACUCUUUAUUUGAAAAGUUUGAAAUAUCAUCAAACAAAGCCAACCAUGGCCCAGUGAUAAAUAUGGAAUUCAUAUGAAACAUCAUAUUGAUUAAUCAUCUUUGAGGAUGAUUGAUUAAAGCGAUGAAGGGAUUCUACGUAGAGAUGCAGCACUCUUUCAGGCCCACUCGUGUUCUAGGUUAGGUGCUUCAUGGUGAUUUAUUUUAUUAUCAGAUAAUUGAUGAGUUAAUUAGUAAACAAAGGUAUAGGAGAGUGAAAGAAAACCCAGAUAAGCAAAGAAACUAAAACAAGGCCCAAGCCUGGAUCGAUGAUGACCGCUGGUGGCGUAUGAGUCGUGUAUGAUGAAUACGUGUCUGGAACUCUGAGGUCCAGCAUAAAAAGAAAAUCAGUUUAUUGGCACUGGUGAAAAUGACCUUAUAGGCAGAUGUAAGAUUUUACAAGGAUCUUGCUUGGCAUCUGUUAUAAUUAGAAUCCAAAUCCAUGGAUAAUUAGAAUUAGAAUCAUUAUAAUUAGAACCCACGAAUUAGGACUCUAAUUAUAAUAAAUAGUCAAUAAAAAUAUCCAUGUCCAAUAAAGAGAUCGUGUUAUUCACCUCAGAUAUAUACAAUUAACCCUUUUAAUGAAAAAGAAUUAAUGUACAAUUAUAGUAAGUGUAGGUGAAGAGAGCGAAGUAUGGUUCAGCUAUGAAAAAAUGAGUGAGGCAAGAGGAACUAAUAGUAUGGAAAACACUAAAGUCAGUUAAGUAAUAUAUGGCUCCAACGUGUUGCUUCUUGCUAAUGAGGAUAUGGAAAACAUCAGCAAUGGUCAAUAUUCUUGUUUUGUCUUAGUGGAAGUUCGAUGUUGUUUGUUUUUAAGAGCAUGUGAAAUAUUUAGAAAGCAAAUUUGGAUAAGCCUAAAAGACUGAAUAAUGAAUUCUAGAUGCAAGGAUACAUGGAGAGAAUAUUUCAAUCAUGCUCCCAUCUGCUCUGUUUUCUACUUCUUAGAAUGGACGUACUCCAGCUGAUUUAAGCCUUGGUCAGUGAUCUCUAUGGUUGACUCCUUGUACAGGAGUGUGGAGACCCAUGGGAGUAAUGGGUCCAUUGUUGUCAUCUUGGUUGGAGUAGUUCGUUUAGAGUAUCUGCUGUAAUAUUAAAAGAAGUAUUCAAUAUAAGAAGAAAAACCAGCCAGGUGCAGUGGCUCAUGCCUGUAAUCCCAGCACCCUGGGAGGCUGAGGCGGAUGGGUCACCUGAGCUCAGGAGUUCGAGACCAGCCUGCCCAACAUGGUAACAUGGUGAAAUCCCACCUCUACUAAAAAUGCAAAAAAUUGGCUGGGCAUGGUGGUGCAUGUCUGUAAUCCCAGAUACUGUGGAAGCUGAGGCAGGAGAAUCACUGGAACCUGGGAAGCUGAGCUUGCAGUGAGCCAAGAUCAAGCCAUUGCACUCCAGCCUGGGCAACAAGAGCGAAACUCCCUCAAAACAAACAAACAAACAAAGAAGACCAACCAUUCCCCAGUGAUAAAUAUGAAGUUGACAUGAAAUGUUAUUUUGAUUAAUCAAUAUUUGCAGCAAUGAGAAUAAUUAAUGAAAGAAGUAUAGUCAUUGACGCAUGUGAAUCUCUAGAAUAAUGUGAAGGAUCAUCUUUUGAGGUUUUUUUCUUUGAGAUAGAGUUUUGCUCAUCGCCCAGGUUGGAGUGCAGUUGCGCAAUCUUGGUUCACUGCAACCUCCGCCUCCCAGGUUCAAGCAAUUCUCCUGCUUCAGCCUCCCGAGUAGCUGAGAUUGCAGGUGCCCACCACCAUGCCCUGCUAAUUUUUGUAUUUUUUAGUAGAGAUGGGGUUUCACCAUGUUGGCCAGGCUGGUCUUGAACCCCUGACCUCAGGUGAUCUGCCCGCCUCAGCCUCCUAACGUGCUGGGAUUACAGGGGUGGGGUUCUUUUUUUUAGUUUUAAUCACUAAUACAUAUUUAUUUUAUUAUUAUAUGAGAAUUAUAAACUCAUAAUUAACAAAAGUAGAUGAGAAAAAAGAAAAAGAAGACCCAAGCUAGGUCAAAGAAUGAUGACUGGUAGUGUGUGAAUCAAUUGCAGUGAAACUAUGUGUCUGGAAUGCUGAGGUCCAAUAUGAAGUGAAAUAUCAUCUAUUGCUUCUGUUUGAAGUGAUCUUAUCUACAUAUUCUAGGAAUGUAAAAUAGCUAUUUUCUUGGAUCGUUUUUAUGAAGUUGGAUUUUAUUAUUAUAAAUUGAUCAAUGUAACGAUCAUUGUGGAAAAACAAGUAAGUAAAGAUGAAGAGUGUGAAGCAUGCCCACUCCUUUUAAAUUAUUUUUUUAUUUUGAAUGUUCACAGGUACAGAGUGGGCAUAUAUAUUUGUGGGGUACAUGAGAUGGUUUGACACAGACAUGCAAUGGCAAGUGAGCACAUCAUGGAGAAUGGGAUCUCCAUCCCGUUAAGAAUUUAUCCUUUGUGUUCUGAACAAUCCAGUUAUACUCAGUUAUUUUCAAAUAUACAAUUAAGUUAUUAUUCACAGUAGUCAUCCUGUUCCUAUCAAAUACUAGGUCUUAUUUGUUCUAAUUAUAUUUUUUGCACCUAUGAACCAUGCCCACCUCCUGCCCAGCCCCUGACUACCUUUCCUAGAUUCUCAUAACCAGCCUUCUACCAUGUAUGUCCAUAGAGUUCAAUUGUUUUGAUCUUAUAUCCUACGAAUAGGUGAGAUGUUUGUCUUUCUGUGCCUGGCUUAUUUACUGAACAGAAUGAUCUCCAGUUCCAUCAGUGAAAUUGCAAAUGACAGGAUCUUAUUCUUUUCUAUGGCUGAAUAGUACUCGAUUGUGUAUAUGUGCCAUAUUUUCUUCAUCCAUCCACCUGAUGAAGGUGAUGAAAAGAUGAAGUUGGUAUUAUGGAUCAAUGGCAGUUUGAUAUUCUUAAUUUUUUUAAGAGAAAAAUUCAUAAGUAUUACCCCAAAUUAAAUGAAUAUAUACCUACACAGUUGACUUACUGAGAUUUGGAUGUACUCAACAAUGUUGAUAACAUCUUAGUCUUCUUUUCAUCUGCUCUGUUUUGAGCUUCUCAGAGUGGGCACACCAGAACAUGCUUAAGCAUCCUGCCAUGUUCACAAGCUCCAUGGUUGCCUCUAUGUGUAUGAGCCUGUGUAUGAGCCUCAGUCCUCUGUGAGUAGUCAGAGUUCUUGUCUUGGUUUGGGUGGUUUGUUUAGGGUGUUUGCUGUAAUAUUUUUAAAAAAUUAAAUAUAUUCAAAAAGAGUUAUCCAUGGCCUAAUGACCAAUGUGGAAUUGAUAUGAAACAUCACGCUGAUUAAUUUACAACAACAAGA